rnacentral:tRNA from 1 species
GGGAUUGUAGCUCAGUGGUAGAGCGCUUGCCUAGCAUGUGUGAGGCCCUGGGUUAGAUUCUCAGCACCA